rnacentral:tRNA from 1 species
GCCUCUAUAGCUCAAUGGAUAGAGCAAUUCCGUCCUAAGGAAGAGAUCUAGGUUCGACUCCUAGUGGAGGCA